AGCAGCAGCCGCGGGAACACGUAGGGUGCAAGCGUUAAUCGGAAUUACUGGGCGUAAAGCGUGCGCAGGCGGUGUUGUAAGACUGAUGUGAAAUCCCCGGGCUCAACCUGGGAACUGCAUUUGUGACUGGCAGGCUAGAGUAUGGCAGAGGGGGGUGGAAUUCCGCGUGUAGCAGUGAAAUGCGUAGAUAUGCGGAGGAACACCGAUGGCGAAGGCAAUCCCCUGGGCCUGCACUGACGCUCAUGCACGAAAGCGUGGGGAGCAAACAGGAUUAGAUACCCGCGUAGUCCCUGUCUCUUAUAC
rnacentral:rRNA from 1 species